UCUGGAACUACUUCAGGUAAAAGCAAUUUCUCAGUUUCUAUGCCUUAAUCUUUUAGACAGAUUCACCGUUAAUCUGUGCAACACCUGUGUCUUCUGAGUCACAGCAUGGUUCUGACUAAAAACAUGUCAGUCAAUAGGGGGAGCAGCUGGUUGUUAAUGACAGGAAAGAAGCCAUUGAAGUGGUGGGGAGAAUUUCACCAUCCAGGUGAAAUGAUCAGGCAUGUAAAACAGAAAGCGUGGCUUGCAAACAGACAUUUCUUUAACCAAGUUUAGCGCCAUAUGUCAAGUUUUAAAAUAAUACAUUACUGUAACUUUUAAAAUCAAUUAAAUAUCUCUAUUAUAUGAAAGGAUUACUGGUUUUUAUCGACACCAGCUCCUGCUCCUAUCCCACCAGCACCCCCAGUUCAUCCAGCAGAGAAACAGCCCAGAUCCAAAUCUCCCAAAGGUUAGUCUCAAUGACCCAGCUGUUUGCUACAGAUAAGGAAAAAAAUAUACACUGUUAUAGAUUUUAAAAAUCACCCCUUGCUGUUUUCGGCCCCCACUAAUGGCUCCUAUAAAAGUUUACUAAAAGCCAAGGAAAUUGUAGUGAAACAGAUAAAUACACAGUGAAAUUAUUAUAAAGUACUGGUAAAAAGGUAAAUCACAUCAUUAUAAAAAAAACGAAACAAAACACGAUAAACCAAAUAACAGCGUGGUAAACACAUGAAAAGCACUGUCGAACUGCAAAUGUGCUGUGAUUAUCAGUGCUGCUUCCCUGUACAUUUCUGCUUCAAAUGUCAUUAGUGUGCUUUUCCUUUUUGCAAUAUUUAAAGUUGUUUAGUUCAUGAUAUUCAUUUAUAUACCUGUAUGUGCUGUGGACUCCACAGAGGACAAACAGUGAUGUUAAUGGUAAGCUGGUUGAUUGAAUCAAGUUGAUCUGCAGAGAGGGGUGGGUUACUGAAUGUGUACUAAAACUGCUUAUGUAACGCUAGAAAUAUCUGACACAAUAAUGUGUAAUCUCUUUAACAGGAUCACAGUGUAUUCCCGGCUCAGCCAAGGAUAGAAAGGGGAGAAAGCCUGCAUCACCUAAAGGAAAAGAACCAUCUAGAAAGUCCUCUAAGUCUGGAGCUAGUCGCUCGAGUUCAGGCAGAGGAAGAUCAGGAAAGAAAUCUGAACCCACAACCCCAGAAGUACCAUCUGAACCUCCACCUCCAAAGCCAGGCUCAGAUCAAUGGGUUUAUGUGGAGGAAACAGUCCCGAAUCAGGACAAUGCUCCAUGCCACACAGCCAGGUCAA